UCCAACGUGGUGCACAGCGCACGCUUGCGGCAAUUGCGCGCUGUUUAUUCGACGAUACUGCAGGAGUCCCGGGUUCGACUCCCGGCGUUGGAA